rnacentral:tRNA from 1 species
GGCCCAUUAGCUCAGUUGGUUAGAGCGUCGUGCUAAUAACCCGAAGGUCGUGGGUUCGAUCCCCCCAUGGGCCA